rnacentral:rRNA from 1 species
UACGAAGGGGGCUAGCGUUGCUCGGAAUCACUGGGCGUAAAGGGUGCGUAGGCGGGUCUUUAAGUCAGGGGUGAAAUCCUGGAGCUCAACUCCAGAACUGCCUUUGAUACUGAGGAUCUUGAGUUCGGGAGAGGUGAGUGGAACUGCGAGUGUAGAGGUGAAAUUCGUAGAUAUUCGCGAAGAACACCAGUGGCGAAGGCGGCUCACUGGCCCGAUACUGACGCUGAGGCACGAAAGCGAUGGGGAGCCAA